UAUUUAGCUGAAAAAUUCCAGACCCAGCUGCACUUAAGUAAAUUUUUUUUUUUUUUAAAGAAAGGAAGGAGGGAAAACAGUUGCUCAUUUCCAUUCACCAGUUCAGUCACCAGUAUAAUUGUUAAAGUUUUUUCAGUCUCACUCUUCGCACUAUUCUUUGCAGCCUCCAGGAAGCUGCUGUCAAAAAAGAUUCAAUCUCCCCUCACAUCCAUACAUAAAUAACUUUCAAAGAAAUUGGGUAACUGGAACAGUAUCACCUAUGAAUUUAAGCCUAAUAUUACUCAUUCUUAAAACAAUUAAUUUUUCAGAAAGGCUGGAAGGUACUUUUAAAGUGUAGUUGUACUUGGAAAUAGUUGAAGUGGCAUCAUGAGGGUCCACGUUAGCUGAAGUUAUUUUAAUAUCAAAUUUAUUCACGUUUAUUUCUUUAUAAGCUACCAAACGGAGAUAUUACUAUCAAGUUAGUCUUUUUCUCAUUGUCACCUGUAAGUUUCUGCAUGCCAAAUUCUGCCUUUACUUAUACCUGUGCAACCGGUUACACCUGUGCAAUUCCACUAUGUUCACUGGUAUUACACAGGUGUAAGUGAAGGGACAAUUUGGACUGCAAAUGAAUGCGUGUAAUGUGACAUUUUUGUUCCUUCCUUGCAAGCUGCUAGUUUUCUACCAGUAUAUACCUAAUCCAGCUCAUAGCUGUUCUCUCGAAUCUUCUAGAGAAUUGCUUUUGUGACACCGAUUUCCAAUCUAUAAAGGCAACAGGUACCUCAACAUACUCCCGGUAGAUACUUCAAAACCUUAAGCAAAACAUAUCCACAUUUAACAAUAAGAGCCCAGCAACAGCAGUCAAUAACUUCAAGGAGAGAAUAAAAUAAUUGCUGGACUGGGUAGAUGAUUAAUUUAUAGUGAAAGGAAUUGUUCCAUUCUCCUACUAUCAUCAAUCCACCAGUCCUGGCCCAACUGGAAAUUAAACAGUAAGGAAAAGAAUACAGGAACAAGAAAAGGGUCAUCUUGCAGGACCCAGUAACAAAAAGCAGCAUCCAACAAGGUUACAAUAUCAGUUUUGUAAUGCUUAGUAAAAACAGCAGAAACAACCAGGUCACAGCUAUGAAACGCUUGUAAGAUGCUGUUUCUGACGCUAUCAUGGGUAUAGUUGGUUGUGCUCUUGAAGUAGAAGUUCUUCUGCUGAUUGUGAGACCCAAACAAUAGCAGAACAAACUCAUCUUGCUAUAUUGGUCUUGAUGCUUUGAGGCUUUUCAUGAUCUCCAUAAAAAAUGAAAAGGCAAUUCUAUCUGCAGAAAGAAUUUUGUUUUGUCCAGAUAGCACUUUUUAGCAUUCUUAAAAUCCAGAAGAUGACGGUGAAGAUCCAAAGGGCAACAUGGAUAACUGGAACAUAAGCCUUUGCGAACCCAAUACCCUUGGGGGCUGGGGGAGGAAUGCGACAACAACAACCUGCAAUACCUUGACAAAAGCUUUUUUAAAAAUAAUAUUUUUAGGGUUAAUGCCAAAAGGGGGCAAACUAGGCUGCAAGUGCAGAACAAUACAGUGGUAAAUCUUAGUUUUAGAGUCUCAUCCAGAUUUCAGGAUAAUUCUCCCAGAUCCCUUGAGUAGGCAAGAGUCCAGAAAGUUCAGCUUCUUGGGGUGGGAUAUUCUAAUCUAAAGUGCUCAGUACUAGCUUAAAAUCUGCAUGGACUUCAAUGGAAGCAGAGUUAAGCUAAUACAGAGUGCUUUGGAAAAUACCACCCUUCGUCUCCAGGUUUGGGUGCCUGAAUAAGCCCAAGACAGAGAUCUCUGGUUACUGGGCAGCUUUAAGAGAUCUUGCCUUGACAUAUAAAAGCCAAAACCUAGAGUUCAGUAGAAAAGCCCAGUUCAGGCCAGUUUUCAUGGCAACUUUGGCUAAUGAUUGAUGGCAUGAAGGCACAGAACUUCCCACUUGAAGGAAAAGGUGUCCAUCUUCCAAGCAGACUUCUGUCAGUGCUGGGAGUAGAAACAAGAACAUAAUUGUUGUAGAAAAAGUUCCAUCUUGGGGACCCCAGAGGUGGGGAGAAAGGUAUGUAAAACAUGUUGGUUUAACUUAAUUACUAUUCUUUGGCACGGGCACUUAUUGAGUCAUCCAUGCACAUAACUAUCUGCUUCUUAUGACGGCCUUUCAAUACAAGACAUAAUCCUGAUCACCUCUAUAUAAAGAGGAACUCCAAAGUGCCCCCACAUCUGGCAACACUGCUUAGGGUCAUUCUGUUGCCACAAUUUGUAAGAAUUUAUAGAUUCUAGGGAAAGAGUAAAUUUCUUCAACACAUACCAGAUAAACCCAAAUUCUAGUUAACUGAUCCCCCAAUGACCAUUUUCCUGGGAACACUUUGGUCAGCACAUCAGGGAGCAUAGGUGGGUACACCAGCUUCGAAGCUUGCUGCUUUGGAGAUCCUGAUGUCUCAGUUCCAAGAGUGGGUUCCCUUGCAACAAGUUGUUUGGGGAAGUAAAUCAUUGAGGAAUAAACUAUUUCUGCUGAAAUGGGAGACAACAGUAGAAAUUAUUUUCUUAUUGGUCUCAUAACAAGAGCAUUGAUUGAUGGAUCCUGUUGCCAUCAGGCAUGGGUAGAAGGAGAACUGAAGAGAUGAAGGGAACAAUGCCCAGUAGAGAACAGGCCUACUAAUGAGUCUGAAGUAGAGAGUAAGCAUCCACAAUGUAUAUGCAAUGUACAGGGACUGUGCUGAUACACUCUAUGUCUAUACAUGCUGGGAUGCUGGCUCCAAGAAACUUUUAUAAAGCUGCUACCAUAAGAGCAGCUGUGGGCUGUACCUCCCUGCAGUUGGUGGAUUGGGUACAGUAUGAGAACAAUUCCACUGAUGUCUGGGAAGAAACACAAUUCCACUCACUACUGCAUGCUGUGUGUUGGUUCUGCAGGGCAAAUAGAAGUUAAAACAAAAAAUUAUUCUUUUGACCAAAGCAAGCAGAUCUUACUUUGAAUACUCACAUGGAGCACCUCAGCAGAGAACGUACUGUUUUUACAUAAUCACCUUUCAGAGCAGAAUCAUAUUUUAAGUCACAAAUCCAUCAGUGGUCACAAAACAAAUCCUUUGCUUAUUUUGCUGACAGUCUACUUCCAUGCUCUUUUAAUAUCCUAAAUAGAACACUUAAAAAAAAAAAAUAGUAGUAAUUGAGUCUUCAGCCCUCUCUCUGUGAUCUCCCUUGGAGAAAGUUUUCUUUCCCCUUUUGAUGCCCUACAUGACUUCAUAAGUAAUCCACAGCCUCAACUUCAAACAAUUAUAUUCUCCUGUUCAUUUUCAUACCAAAUCUUUUGCUUUUUAAAAGAAUUGUUAAGAAAAAAAGGAAUAUCUUUAAUUACACGAUUAUAUUCAUCACAACAUUCUCAACUUCAGCAGUCCCUUCAACUUGUGAACCAGUAAGAACAGAUAUGGUAUCUUAGUUCAGUAUUUUCAACGAUGAUCUCUUUGUUAACAUGGACAAUUCUAAAGGAGUGAAAGUAUUACUGAGAGUUUUUGGUUUUGAUUUUCUGCACUUUCUUCAUUAAUCUAAGGGAGAGCUGUACGAUGGAAUAGGGCUAUCAUGAGACUGACAGCUGUGGGUAGUUUGCAAUAUUCUGCACUUACACAGCCCUGUUCAACUGAAGAUCUCAUAAUGCUUUAUAAAUAUAAGACCUUACCACCAGUAAAAGAAAGGUAUCAAGAGUGUAAGUUGUAUACAUCUCUGUGAUGUAAAGAUGAGAAAAUGUUUGGCAAUAUGAAAAGCUGUUUAACAACAGGUUAUAAUUUGGAAAGUGAGGUAGGUACAAGUGAGUUAGUUUAAUUGCAAUUGUUUUGAGAAGUGGUUUUUGGAAACAGCAUGGCUGGAAUUUAUUUAUUCAACCACAGAAGUAAUGCGCUUGUUAUUUCAAACUAUAUUUAUGACUGUAAGAUAUACAGCAAAACCUCAACUGUUAGUCAGUGAAAACAUGGGUAUGCAAGGUGAUCAUGUUUCAAGAAUGUGAAAUGUGAAAACUAACUUAAAACAAAACUUAUGUUAAUUCAGUACAGAAAGAGUAUAUGAACCCCAGCACACGGAUUUAGUGAAUAUGCGAGGGGCUUCUGACAGGCCAAAAGACAACACUAUGAAUAGGUAAUAGGAACCAUAGACCAUGAAUCUGAGAAACACUUGGUGGUUCUGGUGAACUGCCAUGUGAAAAUAUGUGUCUUCUAAGUCAAAAAUAGCAUACCAGACCCUGGUAUCUAAGGAAGGGAUAACAGAUGCUAGAGUAACCAUCUGGAAUUUUGUUUUCCUUAGGAACUCGUUUAGCUCCCUUAGAUCUAAAAUAGUCCAAAGAUCCCCCUUUGCCUUUGGGAUUAACAAGCCUCUGAAUGACAUGGGAAACUUCCUGUAUGUCCCCCAUGAGGAGAGACUGGACCUCCUGAAUGCUCUCAUGAGAGUGGUCCAUGAAGAGGGAUGUAGAAGGGGGGAAUUGAAAUAAAUUGAAGGGUGUAUCACAGUUCCACUGUGUUUAGGACCCACUGAUUUGUGGUGAUGACCACAGUGUCAUUGGAACUGGGGAGACUGGCUCCGAGUCUGGAGAUGGGGAUACCAGUGAGAUCAUUGCUGGCUUCCUCCUGGAUGGAACCCUACAGAGAGGUGCAGCAACUGUAGCAGCCCCCAGUAUUGAAUGGUUUGGGGUGAAGCUGGGACUGUAGGAGUGGGCAAUUCCAAUCCUGGUACCAGACAGGAGUCCUAAACUAUGUGGGAAGACAGCAUUGGCAAGUUCAAUGAUUCUCAAGCUACCUCAGAAGCCUCAGCUGUAGAUGGUACUGGAAAGGUCUCCUGACUGUGGUAUCAAAAGGUACGCCAACACUUGAGGGAUGGGUCUCAAUGGACCCUUCCUCGGCUCCAGAGUCAGCAAUCCUUGCUGGCUUACGGAGAGUGUCUGGUGGUGCCUCUUUGUCACAUCUCUGAAUCCAUGCUUCCACUCGGUGCCUUAACUGCCAAUCUUGAAGGCUUUGGUAUUGAGUCUUUGGGAGACUUACGUUGUCUCUUCUACUUUGUCUCUUAGGAACUGGUGAUAAGGAUCUGUCUCUGGACCCAGUCAGAUCAGAGGACCAAUUGGCCGUGCUAGGUACCUGUUCCGAGUGGGAAGGUUCCAAUGGUGGGAGAUGCACAGACUCCAUAAGCAGCCUUGAUGUUAGCUCAUCUCUGGAAACAGCAUGCAUUAAUUUGACUACUACAGUCAGAAGAUGCACAAGGGCACAACACACAGGAGAAUCCAUCCGCAACAUACAGGAUUCUGAAGUCUAUCCACCUUCAAGAUCACCAUCAUUUUCUACAGUGUCAGAGUUAUCUGCCAAUGAUAGUGUGUCAGUCACAUCAUGUAUGUCACAUAGCCACAGUAUAUCACCUGUAGCAAAAAGAAAAAUCUCCAUCAUCCAGAAACAACCAUAAAUAAGUUUGUGAUAAGAACCAGCAGAUAAAAAAAAGAGGUAAUUGAUGGAGAGAAAUUGAGCAGUGUGCAAAAGGUCUAGAGUGUGAAAUUGUUAACCCGAGUCUUGAUGGGUGGACCAAUGUCCACAAUGAUCCUGUUGUAUGUACUUGUGUAACAACAGAAGAAGAGAAUGUCUUCCUUACAGAAACAAUUGAUACAUCAGGAAACGCACACACAGCAGAAUACUUACAAGUGGCAGAAAUAAAAGCUAUAACAAACUGAAAAAAAAUUCAAAUGUCUAGUACGCAGCUUGAUCACAGACAAUGCUGAAAAUGUAUCCAACAUGAGAAGAAGUUUAGGAGUCCCAAGCUAACAACAUACAGUUGCAGUGCUCAUUUGAUGCACCUCCUAGCCAAAGACUUCAGGGUUCCAGAAAUAAAGGCUAAUGCUGUUGAAAUUCCAAAAUACUUCCAUAACCACUUUGCAGCAGCUGCUCUGAAAAAAGUGGGAGGAACCAAGCUAACUUUCCCACAAGAUAUGCAAUGGAACUCAGUAAUGGACUGUUUUGAGCACUAUAUCAAGAACUGGCCUAAUCUGACAGUUUGUGAUCAUGAAAAAACAUAGAUGGCAAAGUCACAGCCAAAGUUCUCAACAUUGGGCUUAAGAGAAACGUUGAACACAUGCUGAAUACCCCGAAGCCUAUUUCUGUAGCCUUGAGCAAAAUGCAAGAAAACAGCUGUUUUAUUGCUGAUGCUGUUGAAAUUUGGAAGAAACCGAGUGAGAUCUUAAAAAGAGAAAUAUGCAAUGAUGGAGUUAAAUUACAAGCAUUAAAGAAACGAACGGGACAAGCAUUAUCUCUAGCUCAUUUUCUUGCAAAUAUUCUCAAUACUCGGUACCAGGGUCAAACCUUAACUGCUGAAGAAAAAGGAGUUGGUGGCUAUGACAUGGACAUUGAGCAAUCAUCCCUCCAUAAUGCCAACUAUAAUAAACUUCAGCACUAAGGGUAAACCAUUCAUGAUGCAAGUCACUUAAGCACUUGGAUUCAGAGACUGUUGACGUGAUAAUCUCACUUUUAACAGCAGUAGCUUCUUCUGCUGGUGUAGAAAGAAUAUUUUCUCUUUGGACUAAUUCAUUCCAAAUUGAGAGAUCAUUUGGGACCUGAAAAAGCAGAAAACUAGAGAACAUGACCUACGAAGGAAGGCUGAAACAAUUGGGUUUGUUUAGUUUGGAAAAGAAGACUGAGAGGGGACAUGAUAGCAGUUUUUAGGAAAAACAAACUACAUUUUUGAGGAGGAGGGAAAAGCUCCAAAGACGUGCAAGGAAUAGAAGUGGUUGAUCCUGAGGAUCCUCUUCAGUCUCAAGUUGGAAGAGGAGAAUAAAACAGAAAAGGAAGACUAGAAUAUGGCGAUAUUAAUUUUAGGAGAGGUCAAAGGUAUCCUCAAGAGAGCUGAAUACCAUAUUAUAGGAAGACAUGGAAGGAAAGGAAGAACUAGAAGAACAGAACCGCUCCGCCCCUUCCCCCCCCAGUAUUAUUAGCAUGUACUGAAAGCCACAAAAACAAGGGAAGGGGCAAUUUCAGCAUAUCACUAAUUUUAAUACUGUACUGUAGGUUUACUAAAGUGCUGAAACCACCUAAAGGGUCCUUCAACACACAUUAUGGGGUGGUGGGACUCACCUUAUUCAUAUGAGUCCUUCAAUUACUAUUUCUGUAUUCAUGUACUUUAACAAUGUCUAGUUCCCUGGGCUCAGUGGAGAUAAACUACACUUAUAUUUACACUUCAUACAGUGUAUGGAGAAUAGAGGAAAGUGAACAAACUUUAAAUAUGGAGCAACGGUUCUAAAAUACUUGGUAACAUUCUGCAGUAUCAAAUGCAAAAGACUUGAA